GAAGUACUCCCUCCGUUCUGAAUUACUUGUCUUGGAUUUGUCUAGAUACAGAUGCAUCUAGACUCAUUUUAGUGCUAGAUACCUCCGUAUCUAGACAAAUCUAAGACAAGUAAUUUGGAACGGAGGGAGUAAGUA
rfam:Triticum urartu cultivar G1812 contig426349, whole genome shotgun sequence.